rfam:Triticum aestivum genome assembly, contig: Triticum_aestivum_CS42_TGACv1_scaffold_146271_2BS
GAUGUACUCCCUCCGUUCCGAAUUACUUGUCGCAUGUAUGAAUAUAUCUAGAUGUGUUUUAGUUCUAGAUACAUCCAUUUUAACAACGAGUAAUUUGGAACGGAGAGAGUAGGCG